rnacentral:rRNA from 1 species
UACGUAGGGUGCGAGCGUUGUCCGGAAUUAUUGGGCGUAAAGAGCUCGUAGGCGGUGUGUCACGUCGGCCGUGGAAACCUGCAGCUUAACUGUGGGCGUGCGGUCGAUACGGGCAUCACUGGAGUUCGGCAGGGGAGACUGGAAUUCCUGGUGUAGCGGUGGAAUGCGCAGAUAUCAGGAGGAACACCAAUAGCGAAGGCAGCUCGCUGGGACGGUACUGACGCUAAGGCGCGAAAGCGUGGGGAGCGAACAGG